CCUACGGGAGGCAGCAGUGAGGAAUAUUGGUCAAUGGGCGAGAGCCUGAACCAGCCAAGUCGCGUGAGGGAGUACUGCCCUAUGGGUUGUAAACCUCUUUUGUCGGGGAGCAAAAGCCGGACGUGUCCGGCUGUGAGCGUACCCGAAGAAAAAGCAUCGGCUAACUCCGUGCCAGCAGCCGCGGUAAUACGGAGGAUGCGAGCGUUAUCCGGAUUUAUUGGGGUUAAAGGGUGCGCAGGCGGAUUUUUAAGUCAGCGGUCAAAUCGUGGGGCUCAACCCCAUCCAGCCGUUGAAACUGGGGAUCUAGAGUGUGCGAGAGGUAGGCGGAAUGCGUGGUGUAGCGGUGAAAUGCAUAGAUAUCACGCAGAACCCCGAUUGCGAAGGCAGCAUACCGGUGCACAACUGACGCUCAGGCACGAAAGCGUGGGUAUCGAACAGGAUUAGAUACCCUUGUAGUC
rnacentral:rRNA from 1 species